rnacentral:rRNA from 1 species
CCUACGGGAGGCAGCAGUGAGGAAUAUUGGUCAAUGGACGAGAGUCUGAACCAGCCACGUAGCGUGAAGGAUGAAUGCCCUCUGGGUUGUAACCUUCUUUUAUAAAGGAAUAAAACGAGGCACGUGUGCCUUUUUGCAUGUACUUUAUGAAUAAGGAUCGGCUAACUCCGUGCCAGCAGCCGCGGUAAUACGGAGGAUCCGAGCGUUAUCCGGAUUUAUUGGGUUGAAAGGGAGCGUAGAUGGGUUGUUAAGUCAGUUGUGAAAGUUUGCGGCUCAACCGUAAAAUUGCAAUUGAUACUGGCAGUCUUGAGUACAGUUGAGGUAGGCGGAAUUCGUGGUGUAGCGGUGAAAUGCUUAGAUAUCACGAAGAACCCCGAUUGCGAAGGCAGCUUACUAAACUGUGACUGACACUGAUGCUCGAAAGUGUGGGUAUCAAACAGGAUUAGAUACCCGAGUAGUC